rnacentral:lncRNA from 1 species
GAUUUAUAUUGGAUUGUAUUUCAAGAUGUAUUGUUCAUCAGUCUAAGGAUCACAACUAUUAUGAGGUCGUGCUACCUCAGCCACCAACCUUAGGACUCAUCCCCUAAAGUCUUAGGAUGAUGGAGAUGCUAGAAUGAUGACUAGUAUGGAUGAUUAUACCACCUCGGGCUAUCAUCGACCUUCAAUUGACCCCUAGGGUGGACUGACAUCGACCCCCAGGCCAACCUCUAACCGACUC